GACAGAGGGUGCAAACGUUGUUCGGAAUUACUGGGCGUAAAGGGCCAGUAGGCGGCCAACUAAGUCGGAUGUGAAAUCCCCAGGCUUAACCUGGGAACUGCAUCCGAUACUGGAUGGCUUGAAUCCGGGAGAGGGAUGCAGAAUUCCAGGUGUAGCGGUGAAAUGCGUAGAUAUCUGGAGGAAUACCGGUGGCGAAGGCGGCAUCCUGGACCGGCAUUGACGCUGAUGAGCGAAAGCUAGGGGAGCGAACAGG
rnacentral:rRNA from 1 species